GGAGCGGUAGUUCAGCUGGUUAGAAUACCUGCCUGUCACGCAGGGAGUCGCGGGUUCGAGUCCCGUCCGUUCCGCCA
rnacentral:tRNA from 2 species